rnacentral:rRNA from 1 species
UGGUAGUNCACGCCGUAAACGAUGAGUGCUAGGUGUUAGGCCCUUUCCGGGGCUUAGUGCCGCAGCUAACGCAUUAAGCACUCCGCCUGGGGAGUACGACCGCAAGGUUGAAACUCAAAGGAAUUGACGGGGGCCCGCACAAGCGGUGGAGCAUGUGGUUUAAUUCGAAGCAACGCGAAGAACCUUACCAGGUCUUGACAUCCCUCUGAUCGCUCUAGAGAUAGAGUUUUCCUUCGGGACAGAGGUGACAGGUGGUGCAUGGUUGUCGUCAGCUCGUGUCGUGAGAUGUUGGGUNNNNNNNNNCAACGAGCGCAACCCCUAUUGUUAGUUGCCAUCAUUCAGUUGGGCACUCUAGCGAGACUGCCGGUAAUAAACCGGAGGAAGGUGGGGAUGACGUCAAAUCAUCAUGCCCCUUAUGACCUGGGCUACACACGUGCUACAAUGGCUGGUACAACGAGUCGCAAGCCGGUGACGGCAAGCUAAUCUCUGAAAGCCAGUCUCAGUUCGGAUUGUAGGCUGCAACUCGCCUACAUGAAGUCGGAAUCGCUAGUAAUCGCGGAUCAGCACGCCGCGGUGAAUACGUUCCCGGGCCU